GUCCAGGUUGUGAGAGGGAGGUUGUGUGUGUGUGUGUGUGUGUGUCCCUCUCCAGCUCCCCUCCCCGACACACACACACAC
rnacentral:miRNA from 1 species